GCCAACCAGCUAGCUUAACCCCCCAAUAUAAACCAACAAUAUUUAUAACGAAACAAGACCGAACCCCACAAAUUAAACCAUUUUUUUACCUGAGUAUGGGAGACAGAAAAGGUUCACCCGAAGCAAUAGAGAAAGUACCGCAAGGAAAGCUGAAAGAGAAAUGAAACAACCCAUGUAAGCGCUGAAAAACAAAGACUUAGCCUUGUACCUUUUGCAUCAUGAUUUAGCCAGUACCCUCAAGCGAAGAGACCUUUAGUUUGAUACCCCGAAACCAAGUGAGCUACCCCGAGACAGCCUAUAUAUUUAGGGCUAACCCGUCUCUGUGGCAAAAGAGUGGGAAGAGCUCCGGGUAGAAGUGAUAGACCUACCGAACUUGGUGAUAGCUGGUUGCCUACGAAAUGAAUAGAAGAACAGCCUCGUAUACCCUAACUCAAGAAACACAUUCUCAAGAUCUAUGGAAACAUACGAGAGUUAGUUGAAGGGGGUACAGCCCCUUUAACAAAGGAUACAACCUUCACAGGAGGAUAAAGAUCAUAAUGAAUAAAAUAUACUGUUCUAGUGGGCCUGAAAGCAGCCACCUAAACAGAAAGCGUUAAAGCUCGGACAGAACGAGAUUUAUUAUCCCGAUAAAGAAUCUAACUCCCCUAAUUGUAUUAGGCCAACCCAUGCCCACAUGGUGAGACUAUGCUAAAAUGAGUAACAAGAAGACUAGAUCUUCUCCCGCCACAAGUGUACGCCAGAUCGGACCAACCACUGGAACUUAACGAGCCCAACCAGAGAGGGCAUUGUGAAUAAUAAAGACCUCAAGAAGA
rnacentral:rRNA from 1 species